rnacentral:misc_RNA from 1 species
AAAUUCUCAACCUCACCAACUUUGUUGUGUGCAGGCUUGGAUGUGGGGGUUGCAGGUCCACUCUCGUGGUCUGCUCCUCUGAAAUGUAUUAGUGGGUUGUGCCCCUAAUCUAUUGGUGUGAUAAUUAUCUACGCUCGUGGAUUGGGUUGGUUACUUGAAGACCUGCUUCUAACCGUCCCUUGGACAUUCUUU